rfam:Myotis lucifugus cont2.9899, whole genome shotgun sequence.
AGAGGCCCUCCGUGGCCGGGGUGGGAUGCUUGCCUUGUCGCCGUGGCGACGAGGCAAGCAUUCUGCCAGGCCACUCAUGCUGCCCAC